CCCACCACCCAAAACCGCCCCUACCCGAGCCCAGAACCCGACGCCGCACGCCCGCACCACCAAAACCGCCCAGCUCGGACCCCUGCCGUCCCCCAAUCCCGUCGUCAAGCUCGGAUUCGCGCCCCCAAUCCCGGCAUCCAGUCGCCGGCUCGGAUCCUGGGGCGGCCGCAUCAACCUGCCAUCGGCGCUCCUUCACCCUCCAGACGUGUCCCCAACUCCGGCGCAGCACAAUCCCCAUCCCGGCGUGUCUCGGCCUCCCGUCGGCGACCUCGCGCCGUCCCGUCGAGGUGCUACGCGGCCGGCUCCCGUCCGCCCCACCUCCACCGGGACCCAUGCCCAGCCGCCUGGAUCGAGCACACAUCUGCGGCGGUGAAGCUCGGCGAUGCAAGGAUCCUACGCGUCUGUCCGUUUCCCUUCCAAUCCCGCUCGCCUGGAUUGAAAUCGGAUUUGGGCGCGUUCUUCCUCGGUGGCGGCAGUUUCAUAUCCCUCCCCUUUGGUGUGCAUUUAUUCGGAUUGAUGGGCUAUUCUCCCCUAGCGCAGAUGCCCAUGCCCCCUAUUCUUCUCCUAUAUAAUUUCAGUUGAUUUUGAUUGAUUUCUCAUGGAGGUACCGAUGAUUUUCUAAAGGUGGUAGAACAAUAUUAGCCGCAGAAUAUUGCAGUCUCGUAGUUGCGUGAUCCUUUUGCUUGUUUGCCUUUUGAUCCCUUAACAUCUAAUUUUAUUCAUAUUCAAUUUUGAUCUGCAGUAGCCCGAAUUGGACAGCGCCGCCAGCGGCAUGCUAUCGAAUUCGUCGGUGUCCGUCUGCCGCAGGGCGAGUGAGGCCGCCUUCACCUGCCGCAGCAGGGUGCAGUAGCACAUUUGGGGCACGAGAUGAGGAGGCUGUCAUGAGACGUCGUCUCGCCAAUUACUCUGGAGUUGCUGCUGGUGCGGGUGCCGUAAUCGAAGACGACGGCCGCAUACUACGCUGCUUCACGGUGCUAGACGUCACUGCAGAGCAGUUUCAGCAUCUGGUGACUGGUUGUUGGCCCACUGCGGCAUCUUGUCUUCCUGACCGUGCAGUUUUAAAAAGAACAUGGAUGAAUUCAAGGAGUUGAUGCACACUGGCACCAUGGAGACGGUGAGCUACGGCGAGAGUGGAUGUUGUAGCCUAGCGAACAUGGCAUGCAGUGUGAGAGCUGAUGGACAAGCUAGUUUGUAUCCGCUUACAGUCUGAGCUCCCAUGGUGUCUCCGUGAAGAUCGUGUAGCUCAUUGCUGGAGCCAUUGUCUAGCCGGGGCAGGGAGGCCCACAUGAGAAUUUGAUGUGGCACCUCCUCUGUCCAAUUGCUCAUAGACGUCAGCAAGCUUUGCCAUAGGAAUCCGAGGAAUUGGUGAUCGCAGUACUAGGGCAUCGUCAACAUGGCGGCACCUCUGUUUUUGUGGCCUAGUUGCAGUGCUGUUGCGGCUGCAGGAUGACGUCCCCUCCGGUGUCCUUUUUAGGAGUCGUAUGGUGUACUUGGGACUCGUGCUCAGCGAUGUCCAGAUCCUGAACGAGUUUUGGUUGGGUCCUUUAGUGCUGGUGAUAUUACCGUUGAGUCAUGAAAGGGGUUUUGUUGAGUUGAUAGUCAGAUCGUAUUCGAAAAAGUUUGAUCAGUGUAACUGAGCUCGUAGCUGAGUGGAGCUUUGGGUCAACCGAAUUUGUUGGUGCCGUGUGGUUUUUUAGCUUGAUUUCCACUCAAAUUGGGCCGGCACUUGUCCUUUUAUUUUUCUUCUAAUAAAAUUUUCUGGCUGAUCACAAAUA